UGGGAUGACGUCAAGUCAGCAUGGCCUUUAUAUCCUGGGCUACACACACGCUACAAUGGGAAGGGACAAUAGGUUGCGAAGCCGCGAGGCGGAGCCAAUCCAGCAAAACUUCCCUCAGUUCAGAUUGCAGGCUGCAACCCGCCUGCAUGAAGUUGGAGUUGCUAGUAAACGCAGGUCAGCCAUACUGCGUUGAAUACGUCCCCGGGGCUU
rnacentral:rRNA from 1 species